rnacentral:rRNA from 1 species
UAGAAGACAUCCGAAAGGGAUUAAAGAUUUAUCGGUGAUGGAUGGGGAUGCGUCUGAUUAGCUUGUUGGCGGGGUAACGGCCCACCAAGGCGACGAUCAGUAGGGGUUCUGAGAGGAAGGUCCCCCACAUUGGAACUGAGACACGGUCCAAACUCCUACGGGAGGCAGCAGUGAGGAAUAUUGGUCAAUGGGCGAGAGCCUGAACCAGCCAAGUAGCGUGCAGGAUGACGGCCCUAUGGGUUGUAAACUGCUUUUAUAAGGGAAUAAAGUGAGCCACGUGUGGUUUUUUGCAUGUACCUUAUGAAUAAGGACCGGCUAAUUCCGUGCCAGCAGCCGCGGUAAUACGGAAGGUCCGGGCGUUAUCCGGAUUUAUUGGGUUUAAAGGGAGCGUAGGCCGGAGAUUAAGCGUGUUGUGAAAUGUAGAUGCUCAACAUCUGAACUGCAGCGCGAACUGGUUUCCUUGAGUACGCAUAAAGUGAGCGGAAUUCGUGGUGUAGCGGUGAAAUGCUUAGAUAUCACGAAGAACUCCGAUUGCGAAGGCAGCUCACUGGGGCGCAACUGACGCUGAAGCUCGAAAGCGCGGGUAUCGAACAGGAUUAGAUACCCUGGUAGUCCGCGCGGUAAACGAUGGAUGCCCGCUGUUGGGCCAACUGGUUCAGCGGCCAAGCGAAAGCAUUAAGCAUCCCACCUGGGGAGUAC